GCCGCCGUAUCUCCAGGGAGGAGCCGCCCUCCCGGCGGUCCCACCGAGCAGCUGCCCCGCGCGGCGCGGCGGAUGCCUCUCACCUGUUGAUUUUUAGGGCGAACGCCCUCCGGUCAGCGGCGGGUAACGUCGCCAUGCGGAGGGCGCAGGAGCCGACUGCGCGCACGGCGGGCGCCUGCCUCGGUGCUUUUACUUGGUGCUGCACGCUGCGGGCUGGAAAGCCGGCGGCCGUCUGACAGCUUCGGCUGGCAACUUCCGCGUUUCACCUUCCUCGCCGAAAUCGAGCGAGGUGGGAGGGCUCAGCCGCCCGCGCUGCCGGCUCCGACCCGCCGCGCCCCGCUCCGCGCCCGGCACCCCCAGCCCGACACCCCCAGCCCCGUCCCAGACUCUUUGGAGGAUUCCGAGGCAAAGCGCGGAUCUAUCUGGGCGAGCGCACCGAGGAGGGAAGGCACCUGCGGAGGAAGGCGGCUACAGACCACAUCGCACAUACCCAGACCGCCCCCGGCACCUUUCGUCUGGGUACCGCGGUGUUGGUGUCACACACACACGCUCAUCUGCCCUUCACGUACGUGGGAGUAACCGAGGUCGCUUCUCCAUCACCUGGCACGCGGGUGUACGGUUUGGGCAGGCAGUCGUAGCGAGGAUUCACCGACUCUUAGAGCACUAUAAGUGUAUGCAAAUAUGAAUGUCAACCCACAUGGCCUUCAAAGAGCACUGGCUACAUGCUCUUGCAGAAGCACAGAAGAGCUGAAAGAUUUAACAGAAGUAAAUGUUAAAAACUGAGAAUGGAAACAAAUAUAGAUACCUUUGUAGGAAAAAACAGAGAAGGAUCUACGAAAGAAUGAGAUUUCAGAGACAAGUCUGAAAACUGAGAAAGAAAAUACUAAACUCUACUGUUACUAGAUUGGUACUAACUGGAAAACAACUGCAGUGGGAAGAAUAAAUUAGAAACCUUUUUUGGACAGAACUUACUCACCACACCCAUCCUUUAUUUACGUCACCAAGAUAAAGCUAGUGACAUUUACUUACUGUUAAUUCGAACUUUGUUAUCACUUGGUUACAAAUCACUCAUAGCUGUGAUCUGGCAUGUGUGUUGGUCUCAAGAAAACUUGGGCGCCAGAGAUACCGGAGGUGGCAAGAUAGUGCUUCGUACUGACUGACUUCUUCUGUGCACCCCUGUGUGUCUGUUGGGACUUGAUCACCACCUUCAUAACUCUUCUCAGUGCACAACACAGCUGCAGCUUUAGUAGAUGUAUUACUGACAUGCAAAGAACAUCCAAAUGUGCAGCCAGGGCAGGGCAAUCUGGCUGUGGAAAAAAACAAGAACAAUGAAGCAUUUUUUAAUAAACCUUUUCCAUUUUAAUGUAUGCAUUCAUUUUUGAGAGCCUUAUUUGAUGCAAAUUAACACACACAGUGAAUACAAAACACACAGUGUUUGAUGUUUCCUGGAGCACUUGGU
rnacentral:lncRNA from 1 species